UACGUAGGUGGCAAGCGUUGUCCGGAUUUAUUGGGUUUAAAGGGUGCGUAGGCGGUCUAUUAAGUCAGUGGUGAAAUAUCGCAGCUUAACUGUGAGGGUGCCAUUGAUACUGAUGGACUUGAGUGAAGUCGAAGUAGGCGGAAUUGACGGUGUAGCGGUGAAAUGUUUAGAUAUCGUCAAGAACACCGAUAGUGAAGACAGCUUACUAGGCUUAUACUGACGCUGAGGCACGAAAGUGUGGGGAUCAAACAGG
rnacentral:rRNA from 1 species